AGCUUUUGUUUUUUAAGUACCAAUAGUCUUUCCUAAAUGAAUGGAUAUUAGCUUAUUGUGGCAUGGGAUAUAUCUCCACCGCUGGUGUUCCCAGCAUGAUGAUAAAACUACCAAAAGCACAUUGUGCUGAAUCUUUUUGUAAGCAGAGGCUCCACACUUCUCUCUAUUGUUUUGUCUCUGGUCCCUUCAACAACAUCAUUGUAUUUUAUUGUUUCACAUCGCAGCUCUACCUGAAAGUCUUCCUCCCUGUUUUCCCCCUCACCCUCUACGCUUUGUCUUUUCCUCCCUUCACAAGCAGCUCGGAUGAGUCUCGUGCCAGUUCAGCUUUGACUGUUCCCAGUUCAGCCGGGGGCUUGAAUGAUGUAGUGGAGCCGCUAGAUAUGUCUGUCCUGGGACACAACUUGGAGACAUUCACAGGCCAAACUGCUGAAGCCCCCUGUCCAGGCACAGAUCUGCUUGAUGUGGUCGUGUCUCCCUCCUCUGAUAGACGUCCUGGAUCCAACGUCAAGCCCAUCCUGCCACCAAUCCCCACGGGGCGCAAGACCCCUGCAUCCCCCAGCCCGGCUGCGUCACCCAGACCCAGCCCACAGCCAGCAGUCCCAGGGGGAGGUGAUGUAGACAGGGAGGGAUAGCUUUUCAGGUUUUAGGGUAUAUCUGACAUCGAACAAAGUUGUAAAUAUUCAAAGCAACUGCUUUUUAAAGAAGACAUUUUAUUCAUUUUGUCAAUGAAUCAGUACAUGUGUAAUAGUAGAUGUAUAAAAGGCCUGUUAAAUUAUAAGAACAUCAAAAGUCUGUAUCUGCAAAAAUUCAAGCGCAAAAUGUUUGUUACGAUCUUCCACAAACAACGCCGAGUGCGAUACACGUACGAUACACCCGAGCCAAACACUUGAGGUUAGAUUUCACUGUCAGCACUUGUCUUUUCCUUUGAGCUGUUGCUCGUGCCACAGCACGUCUGGAUCUUUUGCUCUAUACUUGCUAUAUACUUUAUACAUGAUGGUGUUAAUGACCCUAUAUAUAGGUGACUACAGUAUAAUUAUAGGCAACGUUGUGCUUUUCCUCUUUGUAAAAUGACUAUCUUACUGGCCUAAGGACAUUCAGUGUUGACAUAUAUUAUGAUUAAAGCUCAACCGCAGAUUUACGAUAUCAUGAUGUUUAGAAUUGACUAUUUUUGUCUUUGCAUAUUAAUAUGUUUAAAUUCUUGACGUAUCUGCUCAUCUUGGAAAAGUUCAUAUCUACAAACUAUGUGGUACAUGUCAUGUUUUAUAAAAGUAGCAUUAACUUUCCUGACAGCGAAGUGGCAUUAUAUUUCCUACUGUUCAGUAAUCUCAUCAAAUAGGGUUUGCCAUUGACAUCUCGGUACUCAUCUUUUAUAUGCAGCAUGGAGCUCUUUGUCAUUGGCUGAUAAAUACAUCAUUAAUCUUUAUCUCUUCUCAUGGGCUUAUUUAUUCAACUGGAAAUGCGUUCACAAGGAAGUGAGCCAUCGCUUUGUGUGAUUUUGUCAGAUUGUUUGUGCCUUUCAUACUUGUGCACCUGUGUUUGUGAAUUUUGUGUGUUCAUUUUUUAUUCAUAAUAAAUAGAAAUUGUCAUCUGUCACAGAUGUACGCGUUGCUUAUUUAACUGGUGCCUGAGCCAGCGUGCUUGUGGGUGCAUGUGAAUAUGCACAUACAUUGUGCAUGUGUACGCAGAGAUUCUGCACACCUGGCCAUCCAUCACUGUCUGUCUUCCUCUCAGGCAGCAGAUGUUGCAACCCUGCCAUAAUUCUUUGGCAGUUUGAAACCAGACAGUGUCUUUCGGGCCCCUGGGGUCUAACCUACUUACACUGCAGUCUGCAUCCCUUACUAUAGUUUAUCGUGGACUAACAUGGUGGCUUCUUGUGCAUUAACCUGAGCAUGAUAACGUUUUGUGAAAGCCUUUAAGCCCGUUUAAAGCGAUGUAUAACAUGAGGUUAGAGAUGAGAGGAUGAGUGACUGGGAGCUUUGCUUUCUUCUCAUUGUGGAUGUGUAAUCAUAUUCACCCUUUGAUUAUCUACACUUAAUGCCUGCCUUUGUCUCUGCUUGUCAAUCUAUUUUUCAUGCUUCUGCAUCUGUUACUGUCGUGUCUUUGUUCCUACUGUUGCCGUGUUAAAAUGC
rnacentral:lncRNA from 1 species